UCAAACGCGGACGGAAGUAGAUGCUCUUAAAAGAGGACGCUCCAGAAAUGGCGACCUGCGACAAGAUGAUCCUUGCUGUUAAACAACUGCACCGAAAUUCAGCCCUCGCUGUAAAACAAAUCAAGUCCGGGGUGUUCAGGAGCGGCAACCGGCUCUUCUUGACCGACACCUUGGUUCCGAGCCGGCUCCAGCCUCCACGCUCCUUCUCCAGCGUUCCGUUGAGCACAGCGAUGACAGCGGGCUGCAGGCUGACCGCCACACGUUACCGAUGGACACGGGCAGGAGUCUUUCUCCGUGGCCAAACCAAUUUCCUCACGCCCACUUCUCGACCCUGUCUGCUUCAGGACAGGAUGUUCGUGAACCGGGUAGGUGGCGCGGGUUUCUCGGGGGAGGACGGCGGGGACAGCGCAGGUUCCGGGGGAGAAGAGUCCAGCGGGGAUGGGGGAGUUCCAUAUGGACCCCAGAUGACUGCUCUUACCCCCAUGAUGGUCCCGGAAGAGUUUCCUAAUGUGCCGUUGAUCGCUGUGAGCAGGAACCCAGUGUUUCCCCGCUUCAUCAAGAUCAUAGAGGUAAAGAACAAGGUGCUAAUGGAGCUGUUGAGGAGGAAGGUUCGUCUUGCUCAGCCGUAUGCUGGAGUCUUCCUGAAGAAAGAUGAUCUUGAUGAGUCAGAUGUGGUGGAGUCUCUAGACGCCAUCUAUUCUACUGGGACCUUUGUUCAAAUUCAUGAGAUGCAGGACCUGGGAGACAAGCUGAGGAUGAUCGUCAUGGGACACCGCAGGAUCCGCAUCACAAGGAAGCUGGAGAUGGAACCUGAUGAGGCGUCAACGUCCACAGGGUGGUUAGAGUCCGAGUUGCAACCAAAAGCUCCAUCGAGACGCAAAGCCAAGCGCAGCCGUAAGGACCAACCGGCUUCUCUGACGGAGCAGAUUGAGGACAAGAUUUCAGAAGCAGACCUGAGUCCAGAACUUCAGCCUGUGCCAUCCUCCAACGUCCUGAUGGUAGAAGUGCACAAUAUUCAACAUGAACAGUUCACGGUCACAGAGGAGGUCAAGGCACUGACAGCAGAGAUAGUUAAGACCAUCAGGGACAUCAUUGCCCUGAACCCGCUCUACAGAGAAUCGGUCCUCCAGAUGAUGCAGGCAGGUCAAAGAGUUGUUGAUAAUCCCAUCUACCUCAGCGACAUGGGAGCAGCUCUGACAGGAGCAGAGUCGCACGAGCUACAAGACGUCCUGGAAGAGAUCAAUAUCCCAAAGCGUCUCUACAAGGCUCUGUCUCUGCUGAAGAAGGAGUAUGAGCUGAGUAAACUGCAGCAGCGACUAGGCCGAGAGGUGGAGGAGAAGAUCAAACAGACCCACAGGAAGUACCUGCUACAGGAGCAGCUCAAGAUCAUAAAGAAGGAACUUGGUCUUGAAAAAGAAGACAAAGACGCUAUUGAGGAAAAGUUUAGGGAGAGACUCAAAGAGAGGACUGUGCCACAACACAUAAUGGACGUCAUCAAUGAAGAACUCAACAAACUGGGACUUUUGGACAACCACUCCUCAGAGUUCAAUGUAACCCGUAACUACCUGGACUGGCUGACCAGCAUGCCCUGGGGUACCAACAGCGAAGAGAAUGUCUCCCUAGAAAGAGCCAAAGAGGUUCUAGAAGAAGAUCAUUAUGGAAUGGAUGAUGUAAAGAAGCGCAUAUUGGAAUUUAUAGCAGUCAGCCAGCUGUGUGGCUCCACACAGGGGAAGAUCCUGUGUUUCUAUGGCCCUCCAGGUGUAGGAAAGACCUCCAUUGCCCGCUCCAUAGCCAGAGCACUCAACAGACAGUACUACAGGUUCAGUGUGGGAGGCAUGACCGAUGUGGCUGAGAUCAAAGGACACAGGAGAACAUAUGUUGGAGCAAUGCCAGGGAAGAUUAUCCAAUGCCUGAAGAAAACCAAGACGGAGAAUCCUCUGGUGCUAAUAGACGAGGUGGAUAAGAUGGGUCGUGGUUAUCAGGGCGAUCCGUCUUCCGCUUUGCUUGAACUUCUGGACCCUGAACAGAACGCAAACUUCCUGGACCACUACCUAGAUGUUCCUGUAGAUCUGUCAAAGGUUCUGUUUAUCUGCACGGCCAAUGUGAUUGACACCAUCCCCGAGCCCCUCAGAGAUCGGAUGGAGAUGAUCAAUGUGUCUGGAUAUGUUGCCCAGGAGAAAAUGGCUAUUGCUGAGCGUUACCUGGUCCCUCAGCUCCGUUCUCACUGUGGUUUGACUGAGGAGAAGGCCUCAAUCUCCUCUGACGCCCUCAGUCUGCUUAUCAGGCAGUACUGCAGGGAAUCAGGAGUUAGAAACCUGCAGAAACAGGUUGAAAAGGUUUUCCGUAAGGUGGCGUUCUCCAUUGUCAGUGGUGAACAAACCACAGUGACUGUUACCCCUGACAACCUGCAAGUCUAUGUGGGUAAACCUAUUUUCACAGUUGAUCGAAUGUAUGAUGUCACCCCUCCUGGAGUGGUUAUGGGGCUGGCAUGGACAUCUCUUGGAGGGUCAACAUUGUUUAUCGAGACAUCACUACGCCGCCCUUCUGGAGGAGUGGACUCCAAAGGAGAGGGGUCACUGGAGGUUACAGGUCAGCUCGGUGAUGUAAUGAAGGAAAGUGCAAAGAUCGCCUCAACCUUUGCCAGAGCCUUUCUGAUGACCCAGGAACCAGAAAACCACUUCCUGGUUAACUCGCACCUGCACCUGCAUGUCCCUGAGUUGCAAUACGGUUGGAUUCACUUGGGAGCCUCGCCUGCCUGCCGUGUUGGAAUACAACAGGAACCCGGUAGACUUUGGAUCCCUGCCCCGGCUGGAGCUGCUCGUGGCCCUGCGGUCGUUAAGCAAAUGCCACGACUUUGACAUCGAUGCUGGAAAUGAUUUCAUACACCGGACCGCAACUUCAUGGUUCCUCACUACAUCCAUAGAGCUUUGCGCUGCUAUUUCAACGUGGAAUCAAGAAGCAAAACAACUCCUCUGCCAAUGCCUGAUCUUUCCUCUAAGGCAGGGAUGGACAACUGGUGGCCCCCGGGCCGCAUGCGGCCCUCGCUCUCUUUCGGAGUGGCCCCUAGAUUAAUUUCUGAAAAUUAUGUGUGUCCUCUACAGCGCCCGAUCACUUUUAAGUUGUAAUAUCAGAGUCCACUGCUAGAUGGCACUUCCUAUGCAGAUGCAGCUUCCUGCGUGCUUCCACCGGGUCUUCUCCAUCAGCGAGGAAGAGAGGUCAAGCCACGGCAAAAAGCAACGCGAAGAGAAAACCCUAUCAAGAAAAACGUGUCUUUCAGGUGAAAUGGGAGGUGGAUUAUCUGUUCACUGAAUUUAAAGGCAAACCCAUGUGCCUAGUUUGCUUGGAGACGUUAUCAGCCAUGAAAGAUUUCAACCUAAGUUGCCACUACAACACCUUGCACAAAGUUAAAUACGAGAAGUAUACUGAAGCUGCCAGGACUGCUCUCAUUGCCGACCUCAAAUCAAAAGUACACAAACAACAGCAAUUUUUUACCAGAGCCACAACCACACAGGAGGCUGCACUCAUGCCGUCGUAUGCUGUUGCGCUUGAGCGUGCUAAAGCAAAGAAGCCCUUGUCCGAUGGCGAGAUUGUGAAGAGAUGUGUCGUGGAAAUGGCCAGAGCGUUUGGUGAUGCUAACCUGGUUACAAAUUUUGAUACGGUCUCUUUGUCCCGUUGCACUGUGACUCGUAGAAUUUUUGACAUUAAUGAUCAUGUCGAGGGGAAGAUGAAAGAAGUUAUGCAUAACUGCAAGUACUUCUCCCUGGCCUUGGAUGACAGUACAGAUGUGAUGGAUGUCAGCCAACUGCUGAAGAACCGUUGACCGUUCGGUUGAAGUGCACGAGGAGUUACUAAAGAUGGUGCCCACGAUGCCACCAAGGGCACGGAUAUAUUCAACGCGAUAGUUUUUGCAAUAGUGCAAUAGUGUUGCAAACGCUUAUGGUGGCUUGGACAAACUAUCGGCUGUUGUUACGGAUGGCGCACCAGCGAUGCAGGGGAGACGCACCGGAUUCGCAGGGCUCCUUCAACAAAGCGGAGUGAACUGCCCUAUAAUGCACUGUAUCAUACACCAGGAGGCCCUCUGCGCCAAGAAACUGAACUUUAACCAUCUUACGGACUUGGUGACUAAAGUAACACAUCUCAUCCGAGAAGGGAACAGAUCCCUCAGUCACAGGAGAUGUGGACGCCGUAUAUGGGGAUUUACAAAUGCACACCUAGGUCCGAUGGAUAAGUCGGGGGAAGUGUCUUGAGCGUUUUUUUGCGCUGCGCUCCCAAAUUCCAGUGUUUUUGGGAGACAGCGUUCGUGGUGAUAUGAGUGCUAACUGCAGGAAACUCAAAGACACAGCGUUUCUGUGCGACAUGGCAUUCCUUACUGACAUUACUGCACACCUCAAUGAUCUGAACCCUAAGUUACAGGGGAGAGACCAAACUGUGUGUGACCUGUGUGCACACAUCAACGCAUUUCAGCGCAAAUUAGACCUGUUCAUCCCAUCUCCCGAAUUUGACAUACUUUCCUGCUUGUGAGGAGAUGGGAAAAAGUGUCCCAGAGUGCGAAGGCGUACUUCACAAAUAUAAGACCGAUAUCGAGAAACUGCAGGAGCAGUUCAAGCAUAGUUUCCUAGAUUUUCACGCAAUGCAGCCACAGAUAGCGCUCUUCGUGGACCCCCUCUCCGCUGCUGUCAGCGAGCAACCUUCUGAAUUGCAGCUUGAACUUUGCGACCUGCAGUCUGAUCCGUUUUUUCAGGCGAGGUGCAAUGAGAAGGGAAUUACGUUUUGGGGUCUGCUGCCUGAAUGCCGCUUCCCACUCCUCCGAGAUUUUGCUCUCUCAAUGACCAGUAUGUUUGGGAGCACAUACAUUUGUGAGAGCAGUUUUUCGACAAUGAAGCACAUCAAGUCGAUUGACAUUGAUAUGAUAUCCACUCUAUUGUGCACCAAAAGGCAAAGCCACAAGUUCCUCAUUAAAGCAGAACCAGUCAUGCUAAUGGGCUGAGGUAGAGCAGGUAUGCAGGGAAAAUGUUAAAAUGUUUAAAAAAAGAGGAUUUUUAUGUAUGACGGCACUUUGCACUGAAAAAAAAAUCACAGUAUCUGGUUAUUUGUUUGCUUCAAAGCUUUUGUUGUUUAAGAAGAUCUGUUAAACAUGCAUUUGAGCGUGACAUAUAUUAAGAUGCUGUGAUUAUGUUGGUUUAAUACACAUACAGACAUAUACACAUAUUUUGGUCUUAUUUAUUAUGGUCAUAAAUCUGGUUAGGAAGUGCGCUGUCCUAUGUGGCCCCCUGGUAGCGCUGAUGAAAAAUUGUGGCCCCCUCCACCAUUUAAGUUACCCAUCCCUGCUCUAAGGAAUGCCUUGCCUUCAAAUGCAAAUCUCCAUACUCCAAGACAGUGCUUGUCAUACACCGUCCUCCCAAACCCAUCUUUUCUACCUGAGACAAGUGAUCUCCUUACUUCACUAUGUCAUCUAAUAUUGUCAUUGUUGGCGAUUUAAAUAUUUAUGUUGACAAACCCUCCUGUCGGUUUGCAGCAGAUUUCCUGACUUUGCUUGAGGGACUUGGCCUGCAGCAGCAUGUUGAGGUUCUUACUCACACCAAGGGGCACAUUCUGGAUCUGGUUAACACUGACUCUGCUCCCAUCAGUAACCUACAGGUUUAUGAUCUUGGUGUGUCCGACCACAAGGUGGUCUCAAUGGCCUUGACCUUCAUGCUCCCUAUUGUUUGACCUAAGCGUCAAAUGUAUUUCCAGGACUGGAAAAGCAUUGACUCAGCCUCUAUGACCAUGGACCUCCAGCUCAUCACCUGCCUCUGCAUCAAUGGAUGAAUUGGUGGUCUAUAUUACAUCCCUGAGCAGUGUUUUUAAUCUCAAUGCUCCAGUCAAGUCACGUGAGGUCAAUUUCUCCCGCUCUACUCCCGCGUUCACACAUGAGCCCAGAGAAUAAAAACAGCUGGGCGUGUCCACUGUCCAUAAACUGGCUUUCCGGGAGCAUCAGAGGGCCUACUCAAACUCUCUUAAAAAUGCUCGCUCACAGUUCUAUUCCAGCCUAAUCAACAAAGACCCUGGCAACUCUUGACAGCUUUUUCCACCGUAAACCAUCUCCUGAGGCCACAACCAUCCUUUUAAACUGAGGCUACAGAGGACCAAUGCAACAAGUUUAUUGACAUUUUCAGAUCCACGGUCAACAACAUUCGCUCUCUGAUGUCCAGCUCUCCACCUCUGCUUCCCUCUGACACCUUCUCUGCCAGUAUGCCGUCUAUACAUCUCGUUGAGGUUCAAGAGCCACGUCGAGGAAAUUCUCCGAAAAAAUGACAUCAUGUACCUGCACCCUCAACCCCAUUCCCACUGCUCUGAUCAAGUCACAUCUACCUACACUCAUUCCGGAUUGACUACAAAAUUCUACUCACUCAUAAAUGCAUAAAUGGACAUGCACCUCCCUUUCUGCAAGAACUACUCACUCCCCAAACCUCCACCCGCACCCUCAGAUCUGCAAGCAGCUCACUCCUCCGCGUCUCCAAUACCAAGCUCUGCACCAUGAGUGACCGGGCCUUUUGCUCAGCAGCGCCAGGCAAAUGGAACAGUAUCCCUGACCACCUCAGUGCAGUACGGUCAUUGGACUCUCUUUAAAACUGGCCUAAAAACCUAGUUAUUCAGGAAGGUGUUUUUACGUCUUCUUUUUUUCUUCCCCAAUGUUUUACUAGCUUUUACUUUAUUUCUAUGUUUUCCCAUCUCUGUCGCACUUUGAGAUCUGCUGACGAAGAGUGCGUUAUAGGGUGCAACUCCCAAGGAUGGACCAAGCGCCGGCUGCACCAUUGUCACAGCAUUGUUAUCCCUGGCAACCAACCGCCCGGUGCGUCAGAACGUAGCCAUGACUG